rnacentral:rRNA from 1 species
GACGAACGCUGGCGGCGUGCUUAACACAUGCAAGUCGAACGGAAAGGCCCUGCUUUUGUGGGGUGCUCGAGUGGCGAACGGGUGAGUAACACGUGAGUAACCUGCCCUUGACUUUGGGAUAACUUCAGGAAACUGGGGCUAAUACCGGAUAGGAGCUCCUGCUGCAUGGUGGGGGUUGGAAAGUUUCGGCGGUUGGGGAUGGACUCGCGGCUUAUCAGCUUGUUGGUGGGGUAGUGGCUUACCAAGGCUUUGACGGGUAGCCGGCCUGAGAGGGUGACCGGCCACAUUGGGAGUGAGAUACGGCCCAGACUCCUACGGGAGGCAGCAGUGGGGAAUAUUGCACAAUGGGCGAAAGCCUGAUGCAGCAACGCCGCGUGCGGGAUGACGGCCUUCGGGUGGUAAACCGCUUUCGCCUGUGACGAAGCGUGAGUGACGGUAAUGGGUAAAGAAGCACCGGCUAACUACGU